AAUAUUUGGCAUAUUUACUUAAUUAAAAUAUUGUAUUCAUACCUUCCCCAUUUUUAAACUUACCCAUGGAGAAGAGGGAAGAUGACUUGCUCUUCUGUAGCAAUUCUCCGCCUUGGGGUUGCUCCUAGGGAUAAAAGGAGACUUUAGCCUAUGAAGCCCAACCCACAUACCAUGGCCUCUAUUUUUGUGAUCCUGGCACAAGUGCAAAAAUUAGUCAUUAGAUAAACUGUUAAUCUUUCUUCUAAUAAAAAAACACAUUAUAAUUUUUGUAAAUAUUUUUGCUCAAAACUGUAUAUUCCAAAAUUAUUGACACACCUACAUUGCAUUACAUUUGAAAAAUUGUUAUUGCUCCAAAACCUGAUUCUUGAUGUGCUCUCAAGCCCCAGGUUCUCUGUUGUUGGCUUUAGCCAUGUUACAUUUCCUUGAGGUAUAAAUAUGACGUUCAACACUUAAAAAUCCCAUCAUACACCGAUCAGCCAUGAUAUUAAAACCACCGGCUUAAUAUUGUGCUCCCUUGUGCCGCCAAAACAGCUCUGACUCAUCGAGGCAUGGACUCCACAAGUCCUCUUAAGGUGUGCUAUGGUAUCUUGUACCAAGAUGUUAGCAGCAGAUCCUGUAAGUUGUGAGGUGGGGCCUCCAUGAAUUAAACUUGUUUGUCCAGCACAUCAUACAGAUGCAUGAUCAGAUUGAGAUCUGGGGAAUUUGGAGGCCAAGUCAACACCUUGAACUCUUUGUCAUGUUCCUCAAACCAUUCCUGAACAAUUGUUGCAGUGUGGCAGGGCGCAUUAUCCAGUUGCCAUGAAGGGGUGUACUUGGUCUGCAACAAUGUUUAGGUAGGUGGUACUUGUCAAAGUAAUAUCUACAUGAAUGCCAUAACAAAAGGUAUCCCAGCAGAACAAUGCUAAGAGCAUCACACAGCCUCCACCGGCUUGACUUCUUUCAAAAAUGCAUCCUGGCGCCAUUUCUUCCACAAUUAAGCAACACACAUGCACCUACCUGUCCACAUGAUGUAAAAGAAAAGUGAUUCAUUAGACCAGGCCACCUUCUUCCAUUGCUCCAUGGUCCAGUUCUGAUGCUUACGUGCCCCUUGAGGUGCUUUCGAUGGUGGACAGGGGUUAGCAUGGGCACUCUGACCAUUCAGUGUCUACACAGCUCCAUACACUGCAAGCUGCAAUGCACUCUGUACAGACACCUUUCUAUGACAGCCAACAUCAACCUUUUCAGCAGUUUGUUCUACACUAGCUUUCUGGGGGAUUGGACCAGACUUUGCUCCCCACACAAAUCAAUGAGCCUUGGGUGCCUAUGACCCUGUUGUCCUUCCUUGGACCACUUUUGGUUGUCACCUUAUGCUUGACAAAUUUUGUUGCUUCCAACACAUCAACUUCAAGCACUGACUGUUCACUUGCUGCCUAAUCUAAUCAGCAGAAAAAGAAAUGACCCUUUUUCAGGAGACUGUUUUUUAAAGAUAAUUUUGUAAAAUCCAAAUGAUCUUUAUUGGAAUGCGAUUGAACAACGUUUUUCAUGCUUGUUCAAUGAACCAUAAACAAUUAUUGCACAUGCACCUGUGGAACAGACCUUAAGACACUAACAGUUUACAGGUGGUAAGCAAUUAAGGUCACAGUUACAAUAACUUAGGACACUAAAGAGACCUUUCUACUGACUCUGAAAAAACACCAGAAGAAAGAUGCCUAGGGUGCCUGCUCACCUGCGUGAACAUGUCAUAGGCCUGCUGCAGGGAGGCAUGAGUACUGCAGAUGGGGCCAGAGCAAUAAACUGCAAUGUUCGUAAUGUAAGACGCAUAAGAUGGUACAACAGGGAGACAGGAAGGUCAGCUGAUUGUCCUUGCACUGGAAAAUUACAUGUAAUCAUGUCCCCCAUAGACAGGAUCGAGAACUUGCAAAUGCCUUGGUGGAAGAGUGGGGUAACAUAUGACAGCAAGAACUGACAAAUCUGGUGCAGUCCAUGAGGACAAGAUGUACUGUGGUACUUAAAGCAGCUGGUGGCAACACCAGACACUGACUGUUACUUUUGAUAUUGACCCCCCCGUUUGUUCAGGGACUCAUUAUUCCAUUUCUGUUCUUAAAAUGUCUGUGAAACUUGUUCAGUUUAUGUCUUAGUUGUUUAAUAUUUUUAUGUUAAUACAAAUAUUUACACAUGGUAAGAAAUCUGCUGGAAAUUAAAACAGUUGAAUGGGACAGGAAAUUAAUUUUUUUUGUUGAGUAUACGGUAUCUCACAAAAGUGAGUACACCCCUCACAUUUUUGUAAAUAUUUGAUUAUAUCUUACAAAUAUUUUACAAAAAUGUGAGGGGUGUACUCCCUUCUGUGAGAUAUUGUAUAUCCAACCCAUUGACAGAUGCCAUUGUGACAAAAUAACCAAUGUUAUUCACGUCACCUGUCGGUAGUUUUAAUGUUAUGGCUGGUUAGUGUAUAUUACCAUGGAGAAAACCAAAGACAGGUUGCUGCUAAUCAAGAUGAUUCGCCACACAUACUUGCAAAUCAAGAUAAUACUGGUUAAAGAAACACAAAAUUGUUUCAUUGUCAACAUGUUUAACAUGUUGAAUAAAACUAUAUAUGUGCCGGAGUUCAAAAUAUCACUUAUUUAAUAAUUUAUUGUUUUUAUUUUUAUGCUCACUUUCAUAAAGGAUGUCAAUUAUUCUGGAUGUCACUGUAUAUUCUUGUUUUCUUUCACAAUUCCUGCAGAUGUUAACAUGGUGAAGGAAGGUGCAAUUGUAAAAAGGACUGGGGUAAAUGAAAGCAUUGUCAAGAUGUGAUUAGACAUGCUGCUGCAAUAUUUCACGUCAGCUCCUCCCAAAGUGUGAACAGUGCCGCGACAUUUUAAAUCAUUUUAAUCUAAUAUGAUUAGAUUCCACAUCAAUAUUUUAGUGGAAGAAAUAAAUCACUGGCUGCUGUAAAUUAGGGCCUGUUUACAUCUAGUCACUGCAUGCAUUUUCUCUGAUUGGAUAGCUAUCCGAUUGUGAAAAUAUCAGGUGUAAAUGUCUUCCGAAACGCAUUCAAGAUGGAUUUAAAUCUGAUCGUACAAACCACUUCAGAAGGUGGUCUGGGAUGCAUUCCAGAUGAAACUGGACAAGUGCAAAUGCAUCUGGUAGUUGAAACCACAUAUGUCAGCGCUUUUCUCCUCCCAAAUGGAAGUAGGUCACUCGUUUUAGCCGCACCAGAAGCAAAAACAACUUAUUGACCAGUACAGACUGACGGAGAUGAGAGUGCCUGCUCAUUAAAUUGCUUUGCAGGCUGACACAAAGAUAAUCGAAGGUCCAGCACCCCAUUCGGAAACUGGAUAGCCAGUAUUGUUCCGUAAAAGGAGCCAGCACUAUGUUUUCCCACCAGCGUUGACUCCUAGCUUUCAUCCAGGUAUCUCGCUGGGUUUUAAAGUUUAGUACUGCUGACAGCGAAAACGCUGCACAUAAUAUGUGCUGCCUUUUGUUGGUUAAGUGUUGUAGCAGGCAUUUUCGUUUUCUUUUUCGACUGCAUUCGCAAACCCCAAUAGAGCAAAAUAACAGUGGCUGGCAUUUCAGUUCAGCAGAAAUGUGUAUUUGCAUUUUGAGCGGGAAUAGAAGAUCGGAUUCAUAUCCAUUUAGUUGAAACGCAUUAUGUGGCCAAGUAUGAAUGGAACCAUUUUAACAAAUCAGUUAGCUAUCUUAUCAGAGAAAAUGCAUGAAGUGACAAGGCGUAAACAGGCUCUUAAUGUGUUUUCUGUCCACAAUAUCUCACUGGGUGGUUACAAACUCAUUUCACUGGUAUUGUCAUGAAAAAAUUAUUGGGAAUACAGACAGGUGAGAAAUUAAAGGAAAAAUCAACAAAGUAACUUUGGAAAUGUACUGAAGGGAUGAACUACUCCCAGAAGGAUAGAAAUGUUUCCUCAUAUAAUAAAGUGAUCAGUGAGAAUAACUUCAUUGAUUUACAGUGACCAUCUGUAAGAGAGCCACCACAGAACCUCACUGUAAGGAUCAAGUAUUCAGAUGUGUACCAUUCUUUAAUGAGGUCUUUACUCAUCGAUCUAAAUGCAGAUGCCACUUUAAUUAUUCUUCCUAUUGAAACACUAGCCAGUUGAGCGAUCUCUGUGACAGAAUUACCUAUCAUCCAUGACCCAAUAAUGAAACCUCUUUCAAUGUAAAUUAGCUCUUUUAUGCUUGCCAUCAUGAUCCAAAAGCAAAUUGAUCUAAAAGCAAUAAAAAAUGGGUCUCCUCAGCAUAAUUAUCCAUGCCACCGAACUGUCAAAUGCAUCAUGUAUGUCUGGAGGCAUAUGCACACAUUAUGUUUGUCCACUCAUAUAGUCAAGUUCAUCCUUUAUCACUUCUCUGUACACAUGUGCACUAAAACAAAAUCCCAAGACUGUAUAGCAAAAAGUUAAUCAAAGAUAAGAAAAAAAUCCUGGCUUUUGGUGACUUAGGGACACUAUAAGAUACAGUUCAUAACAACAGAAACAACAAAGUUUUAAAGAGCGAGCUUGUCCAUGUGUUCAACAUCUCUAUGCUGCUGCACACUGACAAAUGUGCGUGGCCCCCCCAGAAUCAGAAUCACACAAACGGAGCAUGAGAUUGAACCCUAAACUUGAAGUUGAACUUGAACAAGGUGAAUGCCUGAACUGGUAAAAAUAAAAGUGAGCCUUAAGCUCUUUUGAAAAUCCUCCUGUCUCUUAAGCCUUCCUCCACACAUACGCCCACAGAGUCCUACAACGUCAAAUACAACCCCAGUCUAACAGAUUCUGCUAUACCCCAACUUCCUAACAUGCUGGAGUAUGCGAAGAAAAGAAUUUCACUGUGCUGUAAAGAAUACAUGACCAAUAAAGACUCAUUAUCAUUAUAAGACACUAAUUAGCUUGUGCUUACUCAAUCAUUCAGGGCUCUCCCCCUCCUACAAUGCCCCUGAAGUAAGUAGGUAACAUAUUUUUAACCUGUUAUCAAGUCGCUGUCAUCGUUGUCCUCCUUUGCUUUUUCAUCCAAAACAACUUUGAUUUUGGAUGCCUUUGAACACUUUCCAGCAGUUUCUUUUGCUCUGGCCUUCAUAUUCUCAGAUUUUGAAAUGGGGUGCACAACAUCAUGGGUCAAGUGUAAGUCAUUGAUAAAGCCUCCUUUGAGCAGAAGUGAUGAAGCUUCAUCAGGAAGAGAGCAGGCAGCGGUAGGUGCCUCUUUGGAAGUUUUGCUCUUCUUUGUUGCAAACGGUAAUUUCUCUUCAUUUUUCUUUUCACCCUUCACUUUAUCCUCUUUGGGAGCUUUAGGUGUUGACUUUAUUCUCUUUUUCUUAAUGCUUCUUAACGAACCUGACAGACAGAAUGUAUAAUAAUAUUAAACAAAAAAAGCAAAAAUAUAAUUUAGUAGAGUUUAAUCAUUAUAACAUUACAUAAGCCUACUAAACAAUCGGUUUCUUACAUUGACUAUUCUAAAAAUAAAGUAGUGCUUGAAAAUAAACAGACUAUUGACCAAAAGACAGCUGCUUUACUUUGAGCAGGAGAAGUUGAACCCUUUGUGGUCUUGGUCUUGCGUGCCGCCUUCUUUGUCAUGGAACAUGGGGUGGUAGGUAAUGGUAGGCUGGUGUCUACAACAGAUGUACCAGUACUUUCCUGCCCUCUUGUGUCUGCUACUGCAAGGAUGGUAUAAUUCACACAUAAGCCAGAGCCUGACGCGUUGUGCCUUUUCUCUUUCCUCUCUGUUUUGUUGGCUAUGAGGAAAAAAGUAUUAACAAAUAUUUCCAUUAUUUGUUCCAAAUUAACCCUCUGGUACUUACAUCCCUUAAUAAGUAUAGUAGAUAUUUCAUAGACUGUUAACAACUUUUAGUAAGAGUCUGGCAUGGAAAUGCAUUAAUUAUUAGUGCAAAGUAUUGAGUUAUUUCCUGAUUUAUAAGCAUAGCUGUCAAGAAUAAAAGAGAUACAGAACAGAACAGAACAUAUACAGAUCCAGAACAUGUCACGCUCUUAAAGUUGCAUUACAUAACAUUAUAUUUCUUUUCUCAUAUUGUGUAUUAUAAUGUUCUAUCUGGAUUAACUCACACGGGGUCACUUGAUUUACAGGUGGGAUCAUGACAGAAACUCUGUCUCCUCUUUAGUUUUAUUCAUUUAAUUUUUUCAAAUUAGAAACAUCAAAGACAGAUUUUGUGUGCUAAUAUAAAAAAUUCUUACUGGGAGUCACAUUCAAGUAAGACACAUUUAAAUUAAGUGUACAUGCUAUUUGUUUUUGUGUUUUUCAGUAUCUUGACACACUGCAGUACGCAUCGGAAUUGCACAACAGAAACUGACAAAUUUCCAUGUCCAUCUACCUCGGCUAAACAAUGCAUUGUGUCUCACAUCACAUACAUGUGUACUAUUUUAGACCAGUUUUCUUAUCAGGGUUAGUGUUUGAAUUUUUAAAAACCUACUGAAAGACCUGUUUUGUGUACCAGCCUCCUGGAUUUUCAAGAUUAGUAAAUACUUUUGAAUGUAACUUCAGAGUUUUCAAUUUGAGACACAGCUCACGACAAUAAUCAUGACUGUGGAAAGUUUUAAUGAGAAACAUGGCUUUUACAUUUUGUCUUGGAAGACAAAAAUGGGAUAAUGCCGCUCACAUUGUAGCUGCUUCUGCGUGUGUAUGUAAAGUAUAAAUCAAACCCCGAACACAACUGAUAAGUCAGUACAAGGAAUAUAGCUUUUGCAAUCAAAAUUAUUCAACCCCUAUUGCAAAUGAGACUUUCAGCUCUUUGCAAUGAACAAAUCAAACCAAAGCAAUUGAAAUAGAUCAACACAAGGAAUGCUUCAAGUGGUUUCCCCAAAUUCAACUGAAAAUGCAACUUAUAAUGAUUUCUCUAGUCUCAAAAUUCUUCAACUCCUUCAUGGUAAGCAUCUUUAGUACUUAGUAGGGCACUCUUGUUGUUAUGACCUGCUACAAACGAGAUGCAUAGCUUCUUGCAGUGUUCCUCUGGAAUCUUAACCCAUUCCUCAUGAGCAAUGGCCUCCAGUUCAGUAAUAUUCUUGGGUUUACAUGCUGCAACCACCUUCUUCAAAUCCCACCAGAGAUUUCCUAUGGGGUUCAAGUGAAGUGACUGUGAUGGCACAGUAGAAUAUUCCAGGACCACUUCUGCAACCAAGCCUUGGUGGAAUUUGAGGUACGCAUGGGAUCAUUGUCCUGUUGUAAGGUCCAAUGACGCCCAAGCUUCAGCUUCCUCACUGAAGGAAUGACGUUUUCUCCUAGGAUUUCCUGAUACUUCAAUGAAUCCAUCUUGCCUUCCACACUAUUAUUUAUAUGAUUUUGAGCCAACUUUUCUCACUACUGUGCUUUUGGGUCAGUAGUGGUGUGUGUCUUCUGUGUUCUGGCUUAUAAACAUUCUGUGUUUAGUACACGCCUUACUGUGCUCACUGAAACCUCAGUGCCUGUUGCCACUGUCUUGCUGCACGUCUAUUGCAGUCACUCGAGGGUUUUUCACAACCUGCCUUCACAGAAAUCUGGUUGCAGCCGUUGAUAGCUUCUUUUUUCUGCCCUGUCCAGGUAUUUUUUGUAUUUUCUGCCCCUAGACAGUUCAGGUAUUUCAUGUGUUCAAGCUCAAGCACACCUGGUGCAACUAAUGAAGCCCUUGAUUAAUUGCAUCAGGUGUGUUUGAGACAACACCUGUUUUGCACAUUUAUGAUGUUAUCAGAGAUUGUAUUAAGUGGGUUGAAUAAUUUUGAAGCUAGAGAAGUCAUUAUAAGUUGCAUUUUCAGUUGAAUUUUGGGAAACCACUUUAAGCAUUCAUUGUGUUGAACUAUUUAAAUUGCUUUUGUUUGAUUUGUUCAUUACAGCUGAAAGUCUGUAAAUUUUGACAAUAAACCUGAUUUGCAAUUGAGGUUGAAUAAUUUUGAUUGCAACUCUACAUUACACAUACAUAUGUUACUAAUUUAAUAAUGUUUAAAUGUUAGUGUGAUAAAUCCAGAAUUUUAAAAAAUGUAUGGUGGUCAAGAAUUGGAGAUAAUUAGUGUGAUAUGAAUGCAGAAAAUUCAUAAUGCCCAUUUGGGAUCAAAAAGCUUGAGAAUCCCUAGGCUACACUUCAAGGUUACUUCAAAAUUAGAAAAUAGAUUUUGAAACAGUGACCAAACACAGAUUUGGUUUUAUUAUAUUCUGUUUGGUUUUAUAAGGUUUUAUUUAGCUGUUCCCCAUUAUGCUACUAUCUCAAUAAACAAUCAAAUAAUUGUAUUAACUCAGUAGAGUAAGAUACAUUACACCUAUUAUUACCACUCUAUGAUCAUGCAUGCUUUAAAAAAAAGUUUUGUCUUUCUCACUGUAUUCUCUGUACAAGAUUUUUCACUACAAACAUCAUUAACAACCCAAAGUUUCUCUCUCUUUCAGCUCAGUUUUAAGUCUGAUCUGUAUUGUUAAUUGUAAUCAAUUAAGUACAAGUAUAAUUCAUUUCCAUAAUCAAUUAGUUGGUCGAUUAUUAUUAUUUUAAUUAUUAUUAUUAUUAUUAUUCGAAUAACUUCAACUUCAGUCUAAAACUUUACACGACUGUUUGUCCAAUUACAUAAGACUGAAAAGAACCCAAUACACACAGACACACACCAGAAUAUAUAUUAUUAAUUUAGGACUAGUUUAAUUCAAUGAUUUUUGUGCAUCCAUAAAAAGUACUGUUGACAAACAGUAAACUCAAGAAAGUCAUUGUCGGUGACUCUGGGUAUCUGCUAAAGCUAGCAGCAUCCCAUUACAUGCGCCAUCGACUAGGAAGCAGCUUAUACUUCCAGUUAGUUAAAAAAAAACCCACUAGUGUUCCAUUUGAGACGAUAUUACCUUUCUAAAAUUCAAACACUAGACGGUUGAGUACAUAGUGCAUAGUGCAAGUAUAUAGUGUGUCAUUUGGGUCACAACUUGAGCAUUUACUCUCCAAGGCGUGUUUUCGGAACAGAAGUAACGUAGUAAGUAAAUGUACCCGGUGCCGCACACAGGCCAACUAAUCGAUAAUGAGAUUAAUUGACAACAAUUUUCAUAAUCGAUUAUUAACGAUUUUAUCGAUUAAUUGUUGCAGCUCUAAAUGUUAAUGUGUAAAUGAACAGGAUAUUGAUUGGCCAUGGACCCUAAUUUAUACUGAAUGAUGAUUAGUUAACAGGUAGAGCCUUAUAAGUUUAUCUGUGAUUACGGAGACGAUUUUUCUUUCACGAAUAUUACACCAAAAGGUUUUCAAAACAAAAAAGCAUACAUUAGCUCCCUGAAUAUCACCUAUUAAUAUCGUAUUUAAAUGUGGUUAAAUGCCAGAUAGAACCUUAUAAUACAUGUUUUUCAGCAACCUAUGAUUUACUAAUGUGAAACCAAAAUGCUACUUCUACAACACAGAAAGAACCAAAUGUAUUGGGCUGCAAACCAUUCAGUCACAUUUUGAUUACAUGACUAAUUUGAUUAAUUAUUGAACACACAGUUAGAUAAAUGAAUAACCAUAGCCAUGAGAAUUAAUUCACUUUUUUUUUUUUUAAAGCUUACAUAGCCUUACCUUUAUUAAACUUAUCAGAGAAGCCAUUUAUAGAUGAAAAAUGAUGUGAAGUGUCAGCUUUUGGAGUGUCAUCUAAAGAAUUAUGAAUCUGAGAAUUAUCCUUGAGUCUUAUUGUGUCAUUGGAGUUCUUAGUGGUCAGAUCCAUUGCAUCUUUUUCACAAUAGGUGUCAUCUGUCUGGUGAUUUUCUGGCAAAAUUUCUCCUAAGUCUUUGUUGAUGGACCCAUCUGCAAACAUGAAGGAACCUUCAUCCUGGGUGUGCUCACAACAAUCCACUGCUUCAGACCUAUUAACAUAAAUUAUCCCAGCCAAAGAUAUGUCAUUCUUAGUCUCAGUAUCCCAUAAAUCAUUUAAUGUGUUAUCAUUUCCUUUCCCAGAAGUGGCUUGGUCAUUGCUGGUGCAUAUAUCCUUUUUAACUACAGGUAAACAAUCCUUCUCUGGUUCUUUUGUACAGAGCAUACUCAAAGAUGACUCUGGGGUUUUAUCAAGAGUGUCAUUGGAGGGAUCUGUGUGGUCCUCCUGUUUACACACUGAACUAGUCACAUUGACUUUAUAGUGAGUCCAUCUAAAUUCAGAUACAUUGUUGGUUUUCAUCGGAGAACAUGACAUGUCAGUAGUCUUUUGCUCUGAUUCAUGAGAAGCUUCAUUACCUGUUCCCUGACAAGAAGAUAAUACAAUAUUUGUAUUAGCUAUAACAAGGGGAAGCUCAGAGAACUGUUGGGCAGAUAAACGCUUUUGAGAAGAAACAGAAGCAGUAAAAGGAAAAGUAGAGGUAACAGCAAUAGGUGUAGGGAAUGUACAAAGGCUAGAACUAUCAACACCUGUAUCAGUCAAAAAAUUGGUUUUAGGGCUUGGGAAUUUAGGAGGGGAUUCCAAAGCCCUUUGUGCAGGUGCCAAUGAGAAGGAAGGCCUGGUGAGCAAAGGAGAAUGUGUACUUUGAGAUAAAGGUGACUGAGUAACAUGUACACCACUGGAAUCUUGGUUCUCUACUAUAGGUGUACGGGCUACAUGUCGAACUGAAGAGGUCUUGGAAGGUGAUGCCAGAGACUGGCUCUGAGAUAUAGUUACAGGUGAUAUAGAUAUAGCAGGAGAUGCUUUGGAGCCUUGACUCAUUGGAGAACUAGCAGAUAUUGAAGUCGAAAGUACUGAAGGCACUGUAACAAAAGAUGGUGACAAAGAGACCACAGGAGGUCUUAGUGUUUCGACUAUUAAUGGAGGUGUGGUGAGUAAUUGAGGAGUGGAAGCCACGGCUGAUGUGGUGCUUAUUCCAGGCUUUGGUAAAACUGAAGCAUGUACUGACAGUGGUUGAGGAGAUACCAGAGUAGGCUCAGGAAUAGUUUGAGGAAAUGCUGUUGCCAUUGAUGAUUGAGUGGCAGGGGCAGGAGUUGGACUCAACUCCUUGAAAGUGGUUUCUAUGUCAUGACACAGUUUUGCUGGUUCCGUAUCCACAUCUGCCUGCCAGACUUGCAAAUUAUGGUCAUUAGUGGGUACUAGGGAAGUUUCUGGGGCAUUCAAAGGAAAAUUGUCACUUGUGGACAGCUGUCGGAGGGCAGAUGUCCUCUUAGUACCACUGUAAUCUUGAUCCACGUCUUGGUAGGAAUCAUUUCUACAGACUGGAGCCAACAAGAAAAGAUAAAUAGGUUAUUAAACCAAGCUGGGAAUAUAAAAAUUUAUCAAAUGUUUUUAACAUGUGUGGGACUUUAGUUGCAUGUGAAUUAGCUUUUCAAAAGUAUAAUUCAACAGUAUAAUAUAUUCCAUGUUUUGUAAUGCUCAUCAAAACUAAAAAUUAUCCUAAUAACAUGAGGUGACACAAGGGUCAGGGAUGGCAUCCUGUGUUUCAAAAAAAAAAAAAAAGCAUCCUAUGGUCUUAAGUAGUUUAGGUUAU
ensembl:lncRNA